UGGGUCCUACGGGGGGCAGCAGUGAGGAAUAUUGGUCAAUGGGCGAGAGCCUGAACCAGCCAAGUCGCGUGAAGGAUGACGGCCCUACGGGUUGUAAACUUCUUUUGUCAGGGAGCAAUUGAGUCCACGUGUGGGCUUAGCGAGAGUACCUGAAGAAAAAGCAUCGGCUAACUCCGUGCCAGCAGCCGCGGUAAUACGUAGGUGGCGAGCGUUGUCCGGAAUUACUGGGUGUAAAGGGAGUGUAGGCGGGAAAGCAAGUCAGAAGUGAAAACUAUGGGCUUAACCCAUAGCCUGCUUUUGAAACU
rnacentral:rRNA from 1 species